GGACAGGCAGAAGGUAGUGACAGGGAGUUUGAGAGAUAAAGGGAAGAGGAGAGAAGGGAAUGUUUUCUACUGACUUCACCCAUAUUUCUGUGUGACCAAAAGGAGACCCUUGUCUCCCAGGGAAGGGAAGAGGGCUGGCAAAAAGACAGAGUGACAUUCUCAGCUCAAGUACCCAGGAUAUCUGCCUUGCUCUUGAGUACCUAAUACAAGAAGCACGUGCUUUCUCUCAUGAUUAGAACUGCAGCUCAUACCAUUUAGUGAAAAUCAGUCCAAUUAUGAAUCCCUCAGCAUUAAAGUAUUGCAACAAAAUUAAGUGAACAUACUGAAAGAUACAACACAGGAUAACGUCCAAAGGUAGAUCGACUGCAAUACUACCGGAAUACAGUCUAUUAGAAAAGGAGGUAGGUACCCCAGUGCAGGCAUUCAGAUACCUGGGCAAUAUCUGAAAAGGUAAAAAAUAAAUGUAGUCCUUACUUCAAAAGCAACAUUAGCGCUAGACACAAAGGGAUCAUGAUUUAAGGUUUAGAGAGAAACCAUAUGACUUCAUGGUGCUGUACCCAUAGAUCAAGUCUCAUCAAAUUAUACCCUUUAACUUGAGGCUAUUUGUUAUAUGUAAAUUAUACCUCAUUAAAGAGAAUUUCAAAACACAAAA